GUUCUGUAUGAAAGGAAAGACAGUUAGCAUUCUCCUUGAUGAGGACAGAAGAUGCCCUUGGGUCUCACGACAUGCAGACAGUUAAAGCAUUGCUACCUACUUCCUGGUUCUUCCCACUUCUAGGUGUAUUC
ensembl:snRNA